UUUAUUUUUAAAUAAUUAAUGUAUUUCAUUUUACAUAUUAUCCUAUGAAGCACAGACACCUCUCCGAGGGCUCCGUACCAGUGUCGGACACGGACACGCGGUGGACACGUGUCCGACAUGCACUAGAGUGUCCAAUUUUUUUUUAUUUUUUUUGAAGCCGGACACGUCCAGGACACGUUAUGGACACUUUCGGGACACAUGGGGUCAAUUUCAGAAUUUACAAAACAUUUUUAGGGUCAAUUUCAGAAUUUACAAAAUAUUUUUGGGGUCAAUCUGUAAAAAAACAAAAAUAACUUAUGUUUGCCCUAAAUCGAUCAAAAGCCCUAAUCGAUCAAAGAGCUUAGCAGAGAACAAAAAGAGAAAGAGAGAAGGCAAAGAUAACAGAGGAGAAAGAGAACCUGGUCGCUCGUCGUCACUCCUCGGCCGUCGCUCGUCGCUCGUAAGGAACAAAUUUAUAAUUCUGAAACAAUGGCUACUACGGGUGGUAGUUCUAAUGAUAUACCUGAUGAUGAUUUUGAUGAGAACAAACCAUUGUGGAAGUAUAUAACUAAAUUAGAGAAACCUGGGGAAGGAGGAGGAAAUUGCCAAUUACAAUGUAAUUUUUGUAAUAAUACUUUCAAAGGUUCAUAUAUAAGAGCAAGGGCACACCUAUUAAAACUCCCAGGAAAGGGAAUUGGUGUUUGUAAGAAAAUUACGAGUCAAAAACUUUCACAAUUGCAAAAUGAGAAUGAUGCUGCUGAAUUGAGAAUUAAAAAUGCUCAUCCCAAAAAUGUACCACUACCCCCUUCUAGUGUAUCAAUUGGUAGUAGUUAUACUUAUGAAUCAAAGAAAAGGAGAACAUGUGGGAGUGGGAGUGGGAGUGGAAGUGCGCCUGGGAGUGGGAGUGCUAUUGAGAAAGCAUUCAACAUGAAGGAUAGAGAGCAAUUACAUUUUGAAAUUGCUACGAUGUUCUACUCGCCGGGGGGGGGUACCAUUUAAUCUUGCAAGAAAUCCUUACUAUGUCAGCUCUUAUACAUUUGCUGCAAACCAUAAUAUUCAUGGAUAUUUACCUCCCGAUUGUAAUUUGUUACGAACCACAUUACUUCAAAAGGAGAGGGCAAAUAUUGAUAGAUUGUUGCAACCAAUUAGGGGCACAUGGAAGGAAAAAGGGGUGAGCAUUGUUAGUGAUGGUUAGAGUGAUUCUCAAAGGAGGCCUUUGAUUAAUUUUAUGGCAGUGAGUGAAAGUGGGCCUAUGUUUAUUAAGGCAGUUGAUUGUUCUGGAGAAACUAAAGACAAAUAUUUUAUUGCAAAUUUGAUGAAAGAAGUGAUUAAUGAGGUUGGGCCUAGUAAUGUUCAAGUCAUCACGGAUAACGCUCCUAAUUGUAAGGCAGCUGGACAACUCAUUGAAGCUCAAUUCUCUCAUAUUCUAUGGACUCCUUGUGUAGUGCACACAUUAAAUCUAGCUUUGAAAAAUAUUUGUGCAGCAAAGAAUAUUGAGAGGAAUGAGGUCACAUGAAGAGUGUAGUUGGAUUAGUGAUAUUGACGGAGAUGGUUUGAUGAUUAAAAAUUUUAUCUCCAAUCACUCAAUGCGAUUGGCUAUGUACAAUGAAUUUGUGUCAUUGAAGUUGCUAUCGGUUGCCGAAACACGAUUUGCCUCCACAAUUGUGAUGCUCAAGAGGUUGAAGCUUAUAAAACAUGGGCUUUAAGCAAUGGUAAUUAGUGACAAGUGGAAUUGCUAUAGAGAGAAUGAUGUUGAGAAGGCAAAAUUUGUAAAAGAAAAGAUUUUGAAUGAUGUGUGGUGGGACUACAUUAAUUAUAUUCUUUCCUUCACGGGUCCUAUAUAUGACAUGCUUAGGGCUUGUAAUACAGACAAACCUUGCCUUCACUUAGUGUAUGAUAUGUAGGACACAAUGAUAGAGAAAGUGAAGAUGACAAUAUAUGGACAUGAAGGGAAAAGAAUAGAUGAGGAAUCUACAUUUUACAAUGUGGUACAUCAAAUUCUCGUGGAUCGUUGGAAUAAAAACAAUACUCCUCUCCAUUGUAUGGCACAUUCAUUGAAUCCAAAAUAUUAUAGUGAUGAGUGGCUCCAUGAGAAUCAAAAUAGAGUUCCUCCACAUAGGGAUGAAGAGGUGACACGUGAGAGAAACAAGUGUUUUAAAAGGUAUUUUGAAGAUAUCACAGAGCGAACCAAGGUGAUAACUGAGUUUAGAAAAUUUUCAGGAUAUGUUGAAGCAUUCUCGGAGUAUGAUUCCAUUCAUAAUAGGUGGCACAUGGACCCUUAUACUUGGUGGUGUGCAUAUGGUGCAUAUGCACCAUCUCUUCAAAAACUAGCUUUGAGAUUACUUGUGCAACCCUUCAUCUUGUUGUGAGAGAAAUUGAAGUACUUACUCCUUUAUUCACUCAGUGAGAAGGAACAAAAUGAUACCUCAAAGAGCGGAGGACUUGGUGUUCAUUCAUAGCAAUCUUCGUCUUUUAUCAAGGAGGAGCUCCCAAUACUUGCAAGGAGAGACAAAAAUGUGGGACAUUGCUGGAGAUAACUUUGACUCACUUAAUGAUAUUGGAAUGCUUGGGAUAGCUAACCUCUCACUUGAUGAACCGGCUAUGGAGGCGGUCCUAUUUACAAAUGAAGGAGAAAAUGGAGGUGGUGGUGAAGAUGUUGUAAUAGUUCCCUCUACUUAAAUUCACAUUUUCUGAUAUUUAUGGAUUUUGUAAUAGAUGAUAGUUGUUGGUACAUUGGAUAAUUUUAUAUUUUGUGAUUUGAUUUUCAUGCAUUUUGUAACAAAUGAUGGUUGGUAGCUUUGAAUGAUAUGUUAUGUAUUGAUGGAAUGCAAUUUUAUGUUAUUUCAAUGUUUUUUUAAUUAUUUUUUAACAAUUUUAUGACAUAUAAUAAAUAAAAUUAAUUAUAUAUAUUGAACAUGUCUCCAGCGUGUCGUGUCCCCC